rnacentral:rRNA from 1 species
GACGAACGCUGGCGGCGUGCCUAACACAUGCAAGUCGAACGGUGAAGCGCCUUCCUUUUUGGUGGGUGUGGAUGAGCGGCGAACGGGUGAGUAACACGUGAGUAACCUGCUCCCUUCUUCUGGAUAACCGCAUGACAGUGUGGCUAAUACGGGAUAUUUUGGGUCUGUCGCAUGAUGGGUCUGGGACAGAUAUUGUUUCGGUUGGGGAUGGGCUCGCGGCGGAUUAGCUUGUUGGUGGGGUGAUGGCCUACCAAGGCGGCGAUGGGUAGCCGGCCUGAGAGGGGGGUCGGCGGUCACAGUGGGGAUGAACCACCGCGCAGACUCCGAGAGGAAGCAGCAGUGAGGAAUAUGGCACGGUGGGCGGAAUGCUGGUGCAACGACGCCGCGGGGGUGAUGGACGCCGGCGGGUUGAGAACCGCUAUCGCGGAUGAAGCAAGCCUGCCUCGUUUAUGCAUGGGUUGACGGUAGCUGAAUAGGAAGCGCCGGCUAACUACGUG